CUACAAUCCAAGGAAAGUUUUCCGAAUGAAAAAUGAUCUGAAGCUAUAUACUGAGAGAACAUACCACCUAUCUAAGACUAUCAACCACAAAUGGCUAACACCAGAUUAACAAAAAGUCCUUUGGGUGUCGAGGUAAAAGGACCACGUGACUUACAGAGAAAAAUAUCACUGCAUAUUUCCAGCAAUAGCUUAUGCCAGAACGAAACAGAGAAACAUAUUUAAGAUACUUAAGGAAAGAAAACGCAAGCCAAUAAUUUUAUCUCCAAGAAAAGUGACCUUCAAGUAUCAAGGGGAUAGUUAUCACUAUGCAAGGAUUCAAGAUAUGUUGUUCUUAAGAACCCUGCCUGAGAAAUCUCCUAGAGAAUAAGCUUCAGAAAAUCAACAUCACUCCAAAGACAUAUAUGAAAGACUGCUAUGAGUAUAAACUGAUUACACAGUUACUUGCAGAAUCAAGUUAAAAUGAGAGCUAAGAGGCAGAGAUUAUAACAUGUGAUGGCUAAAUGCUAAGUCAACAUAGUACAACAGACACAUAGGAGAAUGGGGAGAACAGAUGCAAAAAGACUUUAACUGUAUUCGGUAGUCAUAAUGGAAGUUAUGUUAUUUAAUAGUACUGAAUAAUAGAAUAAUAAUAGAAUAAUAGUACUGUUAUUCACAGACUUCCUAUGUGUAUUGUGGGACAAAGCAAAUAAGUAAUUAUGUUGAAACACUAAUCCCCAACACCACCACAGUGGGAGGCAGGAUCCUUGGGAGGUAAUUAGGUUUAGAUGAGGUCAUGAAGGUAGACCCCCAUGAUGGGAUCCAUGGCCUCACAAGCAGCCUUAACUAAUGCACCAUGUGAAGCUGGAAGCCAGGAUUCUCAGUGUAGAAAAAAGAAAAUAGAGCUGUAAUAUGUAAGACAUGAUGCAAAUGUCCUGCAGUCUUUAAAGGAUAGGUGGCUUGCAAAGAGAAGUCAGAUGCAUACUCUUGACAUGGACCCUAGCUCUGAGGACUCUCAGACCAGUGCUCUUGGCUCAGCAACCAGGCUCCAGUUGGUUACGUCACUGACGGCUCCACAGCUCUCCCCCAAUACGAGCGAUUGUGUGCCCAGUAUCAGGAGUGGAACGGCAGCUCCUGAUGGGAGCCUACCUCUCUCCUUAGCCCUUGACUGGUGACGCUAGCCACACUCUCAAAAGGAUGACAACUGAGAGGAAAAAGGUCCAGGAGUAUAACCAAUCUAUGCUACUAGAAGGCAGGACAGUAAUUACCUUUGGUGCAGUGGGGAACGGGGAGUGACUGGGGAGGGGUCUGGGGUGCUGGUGACGUUUUGUUUCUUGAUCUGGUAACUGGUUAUAGGGAUGUCACCAAAUUACCACUCUGAAAAUUCUCCAAGCUGGACAUGUAAGAUUUGUGCAUUUUUUCCAUUUAUAUACUAUAUUCCAAAAAAAAAAA
rnacentral:lncRNA from 1 species